rnacentral:rRNA from 1 species
CGGGACACGUGGUAUCCUGUCUGAAUAUGGGGGGACCAUCCUCCAAGGCUAAAUACUCCUGACUGACCGAUAGUGAACCAGUACCGUGAGGGAAAGGCGAAAAGAACCCCGGCGAGGGGAGUGAAAAAGAACCUGAAACCGUGUACGUACAAGCAGUGGGAGCACGCUUAGGCGUGUGACUGCGUACCUUUUGUAUAAUGGGUCAGCGACUUAUAUUCUGUAGCAAGGUUAACCGAAUAGGGGAGCCGAAGGGAAACCGAGUCUUAACUGGGCGUUAAGUUGCAGGGUAUAGACCCGAAACCCGGUGAUCUAGCCAUGGGCAGGUUGAAGGUUGGGUAACACUAACUGGAGGACCGAACCGACUAAUGUUGAAAAAUUAGCGGAUGACUUGUGGCUGGGGGUGAAAGGCCAAUCAAACCGGGAGAUAGCUGGUUCUCCCCGAAAGCUAUUUAGGUAGCGCCUCGUGAAUUCAUCUCCGGGGGUAGAGCACUGUUUCGGCAAGGGGGUCAUCCCGACUUACCAACCCGAUGCAAACUGCGAAUACCGGAGAAUGUUAUCACGGGAGACACACGGCGGGUGCUAACGUCCGUCGUGAAGAGGGAAACAACCCAGACCGCCAGCUAAGGUCCCAAAGUCAUGGUUAAGUGGGAAACGAUGUGGGAAGGCCCAGACAGCCAGGAUGUUGGCUUAGAAGCAGCCAUCAUUUAAAGAAAGCGUAAUAGCUCACUGGUCGAGUCGGCCUGCGCGGAAGAUGUAACGGGGCUAAACCAUGCACCGAAGCUGCGGCAGCGACGCUGAUGCGUUGUUGGGUAGGGGAGCGUUCUGUAAGCCUGUGAAGGUGUGCUGUGAGGCAUGCUGGAGGUAUCAGAAGUGCGAAUGCUGACAUAAGUAACGAUAAAGCGGGUGAAAAGCCCGCUCGCCGGAAGACCAAGGGUUCCUGUCCAACGUUAAUCGGGGCAGGGUGAGUCGACCCCUAAGGCGAGGCCGAAAGGCGUAGUCGAUGGGAAACAGGUUAAUAUUCCUGUACUUGGUGUUACUGCGAAGGGGGGACGGAGAAGGCUAUGUUGGCCGGGCGACGGUUGUCCCGGUUUAAGCGUGUAGGCUGGUUUUCCAGGCAAAUCCGGAAAAUCAAGGCUGAGGCGUGAUGACGAGGCACUACGGUGCUGAAGCAACAAAUGCCCUGCUUCCAGGAAAAGCCUCUAAGCAUCAGGUAACAUCAAAUCGUACCCCAAACCGACACAGGUGGUCAGGUAGAGAAUACCAAGGCGCUUGAGAGAACUCGGGUGAAGGAACUAGGCAAAAUGGUGCCGUAACUUCGGGAGAAGGCACGCUGAUAUGUAGGUGAAGCGACUUGCUCGUGGAGCUGAAAUCAGUCGAAGAUACCAGCUGGCUGCAACUGUUUAUUAAAAACACAGCACUGUGCAAACACGAAAGUGGACGUAUACGGUGUGACGCCUGCCCGGUGCCGGAAGGUUAAUUGAUGGGGUCAGCGCAAGCGAAGCUCUUGAUCGAAGCCCCGGUAAACGGCGGCCGUAACUAUAACGGUCCUAAGGUAGCGAAAUUCCUUGUCGGGUAAGUUCCGACCUGCACGAAUGGCGUAAUGAUGGCCAGGCUGUCUCCACCCGAGACUCAGUGAAAUUGAACUCGCUGUGAAGAUGCAGUGUACCCGCGGCAAGACGGAAAGACCCCGUGAACCUUUACUAUAGCUUGACACUGAACAUUGAGCCUUGAUGUGUAGGAUAGGUGGGAGGCUUUGAAGUGUGGACGCCAGUCUGCAUGGAGCCGGCCUUGAAAUACCACCCUUUAAUGUUUGAUGUUCUAACGUUGACCCGUGAUCCGGGUUGCGGACAGUGUCUGGUGGGUAGUUUGACUGGGGCGGUCUCCUCCUAAAGAGUAACGGAGGAGCACGAAGGUUGGCUAAUCCUGGUCGGACAUCAGGAGGUUAGUGCAAUGGCAUAAGCCAGCUUGACUGCGAGCGUGACGGCGCGAGCAGGUGCGAAAGCAGGUCAUAGUGAUCCGGUGGUUCUGAAUGGAAGGGCCAUCGCUCAACGGAUAAAAGGUACUCCGGGGAUAACAGGCUGAUACCGCCCAAGAGUUCAUAUCGACGGCGGUGUUUGGCACCUCGAUGUCGGCUCAUCACAUCCUGGGGCUGAAGUAG